AGGCACAUAGCUCAGUUGGUUAGAGAACCACCUUGACAUGGUGGGGGUCGUUGGUUCGAGUCCAAUUGUGCCUACCA
rnacentral:tRNA from 1 species